rnacentral:rRNA from 1 species
GGAUGAACGCUAGCGGCGGGCCUAAUACAUGCAAGUCGAGGGAGGAAUUAGGUGCUUGCACUUAAUGGGAACCGGCGAACGGGUGCGUAACACGUAUGCAACCUACCUAUAACUGGGGGACAGGCCGAAGAAAUUCGGAUUAAUACCCUAUAAUAUUUACUCACCGCAUGGUGAGUAUCUUAAAACUCCGGUGGUUAUAGAUGGGCAUGCGGCCCAUUAGUUAGUUGGUGAGGUAACGGCUCACCAAGACUACGAUGGGUAGGGGGUCUGAGAGGAUGAUCCCCCACACUGGUACUGAGACACGGACCAGACUCCUACGGGAGGCAGCAGUAGGGAAUAUUGGGCAAUGGACGAAAGUCUGACCCAGCCAUGCCGCGUGCAGGAUGACUGCCCUAUGGGUUGUAAACUGCUUUUAUAUAGGAAGAAACCCCCGAACGUGUUCGGGGCUGACGGUACUAUACGAAUAAGGACCGGCUAACUCCGUGCCAGCAGCCGCGGUAAUACGGAGGGUCCAAGCGUUGUCCGGAUUUAUUGGGUUUAAAGGGUACGUAGGCGGGACUUUAAGUCAGUGGUGAAAGCCUCCAGCUCAACUGGAGAAUUGCCAUUGAAACUGAAGUUCUUGAGUAUGGAUGAGGUGGUUGGAAUAUAACAUGUAGCGGUGAAAUGCAUAGAUAUGUUAUAGAACACCAAUUGCGAAGGCAGAUCACUAAACCAUUACUGACGCUGAGGUACGAAAGCGUGGGGAGCGAACAGGAUUAGAUACCCUGGUAGUCCACGCCGUAAACGAUGUUCACUCGCCGUUGGGAGACAAUGUCUUUCGGUGGCGCAGCUAACGCAAUAAGUUCUCCGCCUGGGGAGUACGGUCGCAAGGCUAAAACUCAAAGGAAUUGACGGGGGCACGCACAAGCGGUGGAGCAUGUGGUUCAAUUCGAUGCAACGCGAAGAACCUUACCUAGGCUUGACAUAUAGAGGAAAAGUGCAGAAAUGCACUCCCCGCAAGGUCUCUUCACAGGUGCUGCAUGGCUGUCGUCAGCUCGUGUCGUGAGAUGUUGGGUUAAGUCCCGCAACGAGCGCAACCCUUGUCUUUAGUUGCCAGUAUUAAGUUAGGCACUCUGAAAGAACUGCCAGUGAUAAGCUGGAGGAAGGCGGGGAUGACGUCAAGUCCUCAUGGCCCUUAUGGGCUGGGCUACACACGGGCUACAAUGGUAUCUACAACAGGAAGCAAGACUGCGAAGUUAAGCAAAUCCAGAAAGCCGCUCUCAGUUCGGAUUGCAGUCUGCAACUCGACUGCAUGAAGGUGGAAUCGCUAGUAAUCGCGGAUCAGCAUGCCGCGGUGAAUGCGUUCCCGGGUCUUGUACACACCGCC